rnacentral:lncRNA from 1 species
UAAUGACUACUAGUAAUAGGAUUACCUCUACCAAUAUCACUAACAUUACUAAUACUACUAAUACCACUGUCACUAGCAUCAUUAUCAUCUUUACUAUCAAUAGCAUGGUAUACACAGUAGAAAUGCAGAAUUUUAUUAAUUCAGAACAUCAAACAUACACAAUACAAACUCUCAUACUGAGGAGAAAGAAGGAAUUAAACUCCUCCUUUUCUUUUUAUUCAGAAUGCAGAAUGCAAAAUACUCAUAAACCUCUUUAGAUGGAGAUACUGUUAGGAAUACCUCUGAAAGUCAAGCCUUCCUCACUUGAAGGAUAGAGCAAUGUGUAAGGCAUCUUCACUGGACCAUAUCGGUUCCUCAGAGUCUCAUCACUGUUUCUUUGGAUGAGCUUUUGCUCAAUUUCUGCCAACCUCUUUCCAAACCUCUUGAAGGCCUCCAAUGGCUCUUUAUCAUAAGUCCAAAAUUCACCACCAUCUCUUUGUCCGAGAUACAACUCAUCAGAAGCAUGCCUUGACAACACUUCUAUAAUGGUCAGGUCUUUAAGGGCAUCACUCUUUCCUGUGAUUGUUUUCAAGUACACCUUUUCAGGGUUCUUGGCAAGCUCAGCAUACUCAGGAGAUCCAAUCUCAGGCAUGAAUUGCCUACUAAGAGUUGGUCGGUUAAGGAUGUAGCCACCAUAUGGAUACUGUCCGAAAUUCACAGCUGCAUGAAGGGCUGAAGCAGUCCAUAUCAGUGUGGUGCAAGAUUCAAUCAACUCUUCACGAGUUUGCAUUUUCACCCACCAUGGCUCAUUUUUCUUGUCACCAUGACCAACUUGCACAAGUUCUUUCCAAAAGGCUUGGAGUUCAGUAUCUUGUCCAAUUGCAGCAUCAGACUUGUAGUAGAAAGACACAUAUUCUUGCACCCAUGACUUGAUGGUGGCCCAUAUCUCUAGUCCAUCAGCAGCAUAAGGAUAGUCCUCUAUCAGAAGACGAAGGCCGUGUGGAGCAGAUAAAUCCUUAACAGCCACACCUCUAGAUAACAAAAGAAGGAAAUGUUCUUUGUUUUUAGAUAAUCUUUUUUGUUUUUAUCUUAAGUAAUGAAUACAGAAUUUGAAAGAGAUGUGCUAAUAGCUUGUAAGUAUUACCUCUUAAGAAGAUCUGCAGGUAGUGCUUGCUCAGGGAAAACCCAAUCCUUGUAUACAACUGCAGACAUUUCUAAAGAAUAGCUUCCCCACAAGAAAGUUGAUUCUAUGAUACCCUCUGCAUUGACCAAGACAUUCCUUGCAAGUGCAUUGAUGUUCAUUGUGUCACGAUAAUGUGGAAGAAGAAGUUUGUGAAUAGGGUGAACCACACUGAGAUGCCUGUUUGUUGCUAUCACGAAUGGCUCAACAACUGCAUGAGUGUUUAACCUGUCAUACAUGUAAAGCUAUUAAAGAAUAGUUCGUAAAUAGAAAAACCAAGUUUGACAAAUGUCAUCUGCAAAAUUUAUACCAAUGGCUGACAAGUUGGUGAUAACAAGAGUCAUUUACGAUCACAUAAGCCUUUGCAAGCAGCCAAAUAUAAGCUUCAACUCCUUGGUUUGCCGGAAGAUAAACAUUGCUAAUAGGACCAAAAUUAUCACCCUGAGGAUGUGGUUUACUUAACUCAAUAGCCAAUGGCUUUAAUGUUCCAUUAUCUUGUAAGAAAAUGAUGGUCCUAGUAGCAUAGGCCUUUGUCUCUGUUGCAUUGAUUCGUCUCAAAUAUGGAAUAAGUGUGUCAUGGUGAUCUAGUAUGAAGAGUCUGUUGUUUUGGAUAGCCUGCUCAACCAAAUAUAUUUUAGUCCUUGUAACUCAUUUCAAUCACAUAAAAAAAGUUCAUUUCACAGUAAUAGCAAAAGUCUUGUAUGCUUCUUUUGUUAAGUUAGAGAUUGGGAUGGAUAGAAGGAGGGGAAAAUUCUAUGAGGAAAGAAAAAAGUAUGUGUAUAUUUACCUGUUCUACAGUUAGCCCACCCAAGUUAGGCUCCAAGUGCUCUCUUGUAAUUGUACUGGUAUUAUCACCAUAGAGCUGGCUAUCUAGCUUGCUCUUAGGCGGAAACUCCUACAAAAGGUUUGCAUUGAGGUAAGGUAAUAAACCCUGAUAAAAAAUUUAUCUUUUUUACUUUCUUAACAGUAGUAAUUUACCUGAAGUCUUGUAAUGAUAUGAGGAUUCACACCAGCAAUCAUCUCUCUUGCAAACUCUUCAUCAGUCAUCCAUGCAGACUGGUCCACUACUCCAAAUAAACACUUAUUAAAUGAUGUAUCAACUUAUAUGAUAUGUUUAUGAAUAUAAGCAUUACUAUGAUGGAUUUGUUUGUAAUGUACUACCUUGAAUUACUUUAGGUGGUGGAAACUUAAGAACCUGUUCUCCAUCAGUACGAAAUAGUUCACUGAACAAAGGUAUAGGACUAAUCUUGCUAAGUGCAUCAGUAGGCAACUUAAUUCCACCAUCAUAGAGUCCACGCACAUCAUCAAAGCUAGUAAACUCAGGUUGGUUGAAUUGUAGUCUAAGUGCAGAUUGUAAUUGAGGUAUCACAUUUUGAGAUGCAGAUUUAAGAAUAUAAACAAGGAAAUCUGAUGACUUCAAGUGACCAAAUGAUUCAUCCCUUGGAAGAUAUACAGAGUCACUGCGACUCUCACUUUUAGGAUCUGUUAAGAUACGCAAUACCAGAAUUAACAACAGCAAUUUUAGAACUAGCACAAUAAUAAGUGUUGUUGAUAUUUUAUAUCAGCAAAAAUUCACUGUAUGUAUGUUUUUCCCAACCCUCAGCUCUGGCAAAGCAAAUUGAUAUUGUUUGACAAUGACAGUAAUGUUUGGCUAAUUUGCCGCCAAAAAUAAAUGAGGUCACUGUAACUAUACUUUAUUGUAAGGUAAAUGAUAACUUCCAACUUUUCUGUAGGUAGAAUUGACUCAAAAUACCAAAAAGACACGCUUAUUUAAGACAAACUAAUGAAAUACAUUCAGCCAAUAAUGUUAAUUAUCUGAAAAACUAAACCACUGAACCUCAAAACUUCCUCCAUCGAGGUAAAACACAACAUCAGGUGUUGUUUUAUCAGUUUUGCUAAAACUGCAUACCAUGAAUUUGAAAAGAAGAUUGCUGAAAAACUGUAUUGAAUCUUAGAACAAAGUCUUACCUUUCUUAGUUGGUUUUCUUCCGGUUCUUCCCCUGCGAGGAUAAGGCAACGUGGAUCCUCCAAGAACUGGACGGGCCAAUCUGGCAUUGGAGUCAGGAUCGCCCAAGUCAUUGUAGACAUCAUAGUCAUAGAUUCUUUCAUGUUCUUUGCGCUCUCCUGUUCCAUCUCCUCUCAAAGUCUUUAAUUCUUCUUCUCUAUACUUCACCAGUGGACCUGGUGUUUCACUUGGAAGGUAUGCCUAUAUUUGUUUAUAUUUAACAGAUUGAUUUUCUCAUUGAUGGGUGAUGCCAAGAUUGGAAAAUAGAUUUAACUAGUUUACUUGGUGAGAAGUUUACCUUGUUGGCAAAGAAAAUGCGAUCAGAUUUGUACUUUUUGUCGUUGUAAACCCAUGAGUUGCAAACAAAGUGUAUGGUUCCGUGGUUAGGAAUAUCUUCAAGAGUCAAACUCACAAGGAAGAAUUCAACUUGCAUGAAAUUCUCAAUGUAAAAGGCUCCAGGAAUUCCCAUGUCACUGUCCCAUUCAAAAUGAAUAUCGAAUGCAGACUGGCCAGCUCCCAAGGUUGGUAAGGAAGUAAUAAUACCUUCCAAAUAUGUUUGUUUUCCCACCUUUCCUUUUCCAGACGCUGAACAAAAUUUUCAAGUGUCAUAUUCUCAUUUAUUCAACUUUCUGUCAAAUUCUCACAUACAAAAUAAUCACGUCCAACGUAAGUUUUACAGCAAAAAGAACUAAAAAUUUCACCAUUUUGCCACCUUUUUUAGCUUAAUCAUGAUUCUCUUCAUUUCAUCUUCUUGGUUGUUUUAUUAUUAAACUGUUUAAUAUGAUCCUUCGAUUGUCAUAUAAUUAUUUUGUACAACAUUAGAGUGGAAGUGAGUGUUCCUAUUUGGUUGGACUGAAUACAGACAGAAAUGAAUUGUAUAAUCAGUUAAACAUUUAAAUAACAAUAAAUAUAAUUUAAAAAGCAAAGAAAGCAAAGUAUAGUAAUAAGAAAAGAAGUCGGUUACCAUCAGCAGCAGUGGCACUGAUCAACCUGAGAGCCACAGAUCGUCCGAGAAAGGAAGUGAGAGUGUCAACGGUGGUGCCGAUGACACCACCCACAACACCGAUUGCGCCACCGAUGAUGCCGGUGGGACUUUGAGCAGAAGUGAGAGCAUUGAUAUCCAACACAUUCUUACGCAUCAACACCACUGUUCCCUUCAGCUUCUGCCCCCGGUUGAUGAGACCUGUCACACCUGAAAACAUCUUUAGAAAUCUUAAACAACAACAACGUUAUACACUUGGUUUUUCUCCAGUAGAGAAACUGGGUUGGGAGAAAGACGAAGAAGGUGGCUAGUAUUUAUAAGGCCAAAACAAGAUCGUCAGAAAGAAAGAGUUGUCAUUUCUUAACAGCAUGUGCCAAACAUGAUCUUCCAUACUCUUCUUCUCAUCUGCUCUAUAAAAUAUCAAUAACAUAUACUUUUUAACAUCAGAUACAUAGCACACAACACACACGUGUUACCUUUUUAUCAUAUUUAAAAUAUGUUAACAUAAAUACCAAAUAAAUAAUAAAUGAGAAUAUAUAUAUAUAUAUAUAUAUAUAUAUAUAUAUAUAUAUAUAUCCUUUAUAUAUUAGUAAUAACAUUAUAGAAACUGCAGUAGAAUAACUCUCCCAAAUAUACUAUUGUAUUUUUUCUGCAUGAAUUUCAUUAAACUGUAUAUCUAUUUAAAAGCACUACUUCUAUGAGAUUACAUAUACUUCUCUGAGAUUACAUAUCUAAUCCGAGCAGUCAAAACAUAAACAUUAAUCAUUACCGUAAGUCUCUGAUCAUAUAUAUAUAUAUAUAUAUAUAUAUAUAAUCUACAGAAAAAAUGUAAUUCAGCAUACUACAUUGAUAUGGUCUAAAGGGAGUGUUCAGAAGAUCUGUGAGAGAGUAUGGGCUGGAUUACAAUAUCAUUGGAGCAAUCAAUCUUCCAAUCUCUAGCCCAACUAUUUCUUUAAUCUAAUAUUUACUGCUAUAUUAUAUAUACAUCAUACUCUGCAAUAUAAACUGCAUGUUUAAAUUAAAAUUGAGAUCUUCAAAAUUAAUUUUAUAUUUUCUAUUUUCGUAUGAAGUUCUUUUGCCUUUAAUACCACUUGAACAACGUAUGUUAAGCAUGUGUAUGCUUCCUAUUGGGGUCUUCUUUUGUCAAUGCCUAUUUGUCUAUACGUUUCAAACUAUUAUUUUUCAAUAAUGUCAUCAAAGUAAUCAAAAUAUGUAUGUUAGAUAUGUAACAUGGGUGAAAGAAACAACAACACAACAAUAAAAAAAAAUACUAACAAUAAAAAAAUACUAAAAUAUGUAAAAAGUAAUUCUUUUAAAUUUAUCUGAGGUAUAAUAGUAAAAAAUAGUAAUAAUAAUAUUAAAAAAAAGACUAGUGUUUUUAAUAUGGAAAAACGUUUUUAAUCACAUCAUACAUUUAUGAAAACAUUAAUUGAGUAUCAUUUACUUGUAUUCUCAUUUAUUCUUAGGAUAAACUUAUUUAAAUCUUGAUUAGAUUUUUAUACAUAGAUCAUAUUGUAUUUGGUUAAGCGGAUAACCAAAACCAACAAUUAUAUAUCACUUAUGAGUCUUUUAAUUAAUUAAGAUUCACCGAUAUAAAUACAAUAAAAUAUGAGUUAUGACCAAGUCAAAUGAGCACUGUAUGAUCCUUGUAUCAAACCUUUUUAAUGGGUUUUAGGCAAAUAUGUUUCAUUGUAAUAUAAGAACAAUAUAAGAAAGUUAGAAAGAUAUAUAGUUAUGAUUGAAAUUUGUUAGAAAUUCAAAUAUGACAAGUCUUAGAGAGUGUUCGUUUGUGGAAGUUCAUUGUGUGAAUGGAUUUAUCAAAGCAAAUUUGCGGGAUUAGGAUGUAUUCGUUUUUAACAAUUUGUAAUUGAGUAAAGGAGAUGAAUUGUGAUAUGCUAUCUUACCAAAACAAAGAGAUUUGUGAGGAUAGAAUAUUUUUUUACCAUAAUAUUCCUAAUAUGUACACAUGUAAUCAAUUCCACUCAUUAUUGGAAUGAGUUCCUUUCCUCUCUACAAUUUGUUGUUCCUUUCUCACUCCUCUCUCUCUCUCUCUCUCUCUCUCUCUCUCUCUCUAUAUAUAUAUAUAUAUAUAUAUAUAUAUAUAUAUAUAUAUAUAAAAUAAUAAUAAUAAUAAUGUUGAGUACUAAUAGGAAUAUUAUAUAAUAAUAAUAAUAUUUAAUAAUAAUAAUAUUAUUAAUAUAAUAGUAAUAAUAAUAUAUUAAUUUUAAUUACAAAAAUAAAAAAUAACCUUAUAUUUUUAUUUUUUUAAUAUUUAUGAAAAAAUUUAUCCAAAGAAUUUAUAAGAUUUAUAUUUCUCUAUUUUAUUAUAACCUGAGUCUCUUCUCUAUUUUCAUUAUUUAUUAUUUCUUUUUAAUUCUAUUAUUUUAAAUAAUUUUUAUAAAAAAAAUAUUAUUAUAAAUAUUAUUUUAUAUUAAUAUUAUUAUUCUUUAUUACAUAUCUGUUAAAACAAUUCUUUUUAAUCUAUUACAUGAGUCAAAUUAUACAUCAAUUUUCCUUCUAAAUUUAUUCUCAAUCACCUUCAAGUCCAUUAAAAAAAGUAACACACAAUUUCCUCUCAAAUCUCUUUAUAUCAUUCUACUUCAUCUCCCUUAAAUCAUCUUUCUCAACUGAAUACACCUUAAGAGUUAGCAUAAAUAUUUAAAGAUUAAAAUUAAUUAAAAAUAGUUAGUAAUUGAAAACAUAAUAAAAUAAAUUUGGAUAAAGGAAGGCACAAGGACCAAUGUUUGAUGAGUUUAAUAAAUUUAAAGAUGAUCACGGUAAGCAUUGGAGUAUUGAUAAAAUCACAGGAUAUUGGAAAAGACCCUAACAAAAAUAACCUCAGUUAUUUUUAUAAAAUAUUAUGCUCUCGCUGAAUCAGAAAAGGUUAUAAAAAUAAGUUGAGUGGUGGGUGUUGCAUAAUUUAUAAUUAAACAAAAGAAAAAUACAAUCUUUAUAUUAUAAGAAAAGGUAAUUUUGUUCUAGCUGUUAAGUCGAUAUUUUUAAAUGAUCUUGAGAUCUUCAACAAUUAGACCUCGAAAAGAUAGAUCAUCUUGCAAAUUUCUCUUAGGUUUUUUUAAGUCUUUUUCUCAUCAUGGAUCCACCUAAAUCUUAAAUUAGAUCAUGAUUUUGGUUUUAAUGCUCCUCACUUUUUCCUUAGACUUUCAUUUCUGCAUUAAAAAUAAUUGAAUUUCAUGUAAGAAAAUAAAUCCUUUGAUUUUGAUGUUCUCAUUACAUGCAUAAACAAAAAAGUUAAAUAUCAUAUAAAUUACCUCUUUGUGUGAAUUUGACACUAAGAUCUUAUUGUUCUUUUGUCUCCCAUAAAUUCCUUUCCAACAUCUAUCAACAAGACAUAUAUAAAUGAAUGGUUUAAUAUUACUCUCUGUGCUUUGCAAAAAGACAUCUAGAUUUUAAUUUCCGUAUCUGCAAAUAAAAAUUUAAUUAGUCUUUGAUAUAUAUAUAUAUAUAUAUAUUUCACACUUUAAACUAACUAUUAAAUAAGCUCACAAGUUAAGCGAGUAGUUUACGUCAGAUGUAUCAAAAUCUAAUGUUGUUUCACCUGUUUCCUUAUAAGUAACUUUAAUGUAUAACUUAAUCACGGUUUGUGUUCUUCGCACUUUUCUGUAUAUGUGAUAACGAUGGAAACGCAUAUGUGAUUUUGUCUUCAUCUUUAUCUUUAUGCAGCUUGUCCUUUUAUCUUCAUCUUUGAAUAUGUUGAUUAUACUAAUGUUAGUGUAUAAUCGUCUUGUUAAUUCUUAUCCAAACAAUUAAAUAGAACGUUACAAUUAAUAAACCUACUAGUGCAAAAACGUUGUUUAAUAUCGGUUAAUUUGGACUUUUAACGUCACUUUCACAUCCGACGUCUAAACGGGUGACGUCUAUGGGACGUCAGAAUUCCUCAGAACCGACGUCCAACUCAAUGUCGGCUAUAGACAUCCACCGAGGUCUCUAUAGAUGUCUGAUUAAACACACACCGACGUCUAAUUACUCUGUAUAGACGUCAUCCUAUGAUUAAACCGACGUCAACAUGAAUAUAUAAAGAGGUUUAAAAUGACACUAACCGACGACUAUGUUGUUACCGACGUCUAACAACAAUUUUGUGUUUUAGUGCAGUUUUGAUUCAGGCUUUCGGUAACAUUGUGUAACAUUUUUCUCUCGCUAGUUUCCUCACAAAAAAGCUUGCGUCUUUUGAAUCCUCUAGUCCUUUCAACCCAAAACCGAAUUUGGGUCCAUGGCUACUUCCCAUUAAUCAACUACAACAGAAAAAAAUUACGGUGUCGAGAAGUAGACAAGGACACAGUUUCCAUUUUGGGUCGGAAGAACUAGAAAACUCAAAAGAUCGCCACUCUUCUUGUGAGGAAACCAGCAAAGGAAGAAUGUUGCACUAUGUUACCCAAAGAGAUGAUCAAAAUUGCACUAAAAUACAACACAAAGAAAGGAAAUUUUGAUCAGUUCAACGACAAGAUAAUCGAUAACAAACUAAAGAAAGUUUAAACGGGUAGUAUAAAAAAAAAAACCACAAACUUGGGAUGCAAGAGAGAAAAAGGAGAGUACGAAGACAAUGACGUUGUGAGAAACGACAACGCAAUGCAGCAAGAGAUAAACAGUAGAGGAGAAGCAGAGAAAAAGGAGAAGAGAUGAAGACGCGAUUGAAACUGAAUUUUGAGAAGAGUCUGCGGUCUAUUUAAAAUGAAAUGGGGCGUCGGUUGCUCCAGAAACCGACGUCUAGGAAGCUGAAAAGAUUGACGUUUUGGUUUCCUGUCAGGGAAGUUAACGUCGGUGCCCCUAAGAGCCGACGUCUACAACCCUCGAAUUUGGUGAAAAUAAAGGAACGUAGACGUCGGUGCCCCUUAGAACUAACGUCUACAUUGAAGAAUUUUUGUCUUCCUGCCUUCCAGACAGGCCUUAGACGUUGGCGUUUGACUACGUGACGUCUAAUUGCCUGGGGUAUUAGGUGAACAACA